GGGGAUGUUAUUGGCUUCGACGUUAGUAAUGAAACUCAUAGAUGCAUGUCGAGAGUGCGUUUUCUCUCGUAAAUAAAAUACGCAAUUUAAAUAGUCGCAAACGACGAAACUUACGCUCUAGCUGCCUAAGGGCGCUUGUCCGCCUAGUAGAAUACUUGUGGUCUACUAGCCCGACUGAAGCGAACGCACACAAGUCCGUAUAACGUCAAGUCUCGGGGCGAUAUACCAAAUUUAGAGAAUCGCUCUUUGCACCCUGUUCGUUGGGUCGCUUAGGGUUAAAACAAUAAACGAUAUCUAAGCAUGUAGUAUUCUCGAGUGUAGUGCUUACGGACGCGGGUUCAACUCCCGCCAUCUCCACCA
rnacentral:tmRNA from 1 species